rnacentral:rRNA from 1 species
GGAGUUAGCCGGUGCUUCUUCUGUGAGUGAUGUCCUUCCUGCCGGCUAUUAACCCGCAGGCCUUCUUCCUCACUGAAAGUGCUUUACAACCCGAAGGCCUUCUUCACACACGCGGCAUGGCUGGAUCAGGGUUGCCCCCAUUGUCCAAUAUUCCCCACUGCUGCCUCCCGUAGGAGUCUGGGCCGUGUCUCAGUCCCAGUGUGGCUGAUCAUCCUCUCAGACCAGCUACGGAUCGUCGCCUUGGUGAGCCGUUACCUCACCAACCAGCUAAUCCGACAUAGGAUCAUCCGAUAGCGCGAGGCCCGAAGGUCCCCCGCUUUCCCCCGUAGGGCGUAUGCGGUAUUAGCCUGGGUUUCCCCAGGUUAUCCCCCACUACCGGGCAGAUUCCUAUGCAUUACUCACCCGUCCGCCGCUCGCCACCAGGGAGCAAGCUCCCCGUGCUGCCGCUCGACUUGCAUGUGUUAGGCCUGCCGCCAGCGUUCAAUCUGAGCCAGGAUCAAACUCUGA